AAGUCGUAACAAGGUUUCCGUAGGUGAACCUGCGGAAGGAUCAUUAAAGAAUGUAACCUUUUUGGUACACUCUUAUUAUCCCUUUGUCUACCCUUCCCUGUUGCUUCCAUGGUGCCAGCCAAUUUUUGGCUCUGGACAGGUACUAAAACUACCUGUUUGGAAGUGCCCAUGGGUGUCCCUCGGUGACAUCUGUACCCGGGGGACUUUUUUUAAAAUCUGAAAUGACGAAAUUGUCUGAAUACAUUUAAAUUUAAAAUAAAACUUUCAACAACGGAUCUCUAGGCUCUU
rnacentral:misc_RNA from 1 species